rnacentral:lncRNA from 1 species
AAAAAUGGUCCUUAACACUCAACAAAAAUUUUGAUUGGAAAACUGUGCAUAAUAUGUCUUUUUACUCCACAAAAAGCUCAAAACUCCACUGGUUCCAAUAUAGAAUAAUACACAGAAUAUUGGGCACAAAUAAAUUUUUAUUUAAGAUAAAAAUAAAACAAAGCGAUAAAUGUACUUUCUGCAGUGAAGUUACUGAAGAUAUUGAACACAUAUUUUGGACAUGCCAUAAAAUAGCAGAUCUGUGGAUAAGACUCAUGGACUGGAUUUAUAACCAAACACAAAUAAUUAUUCCAUUUAACAUGGAUAUAAUUUUAUUUGGAAAUUUAGGAAAAACAGAAAAUAAUAAAAUAAAAAACUUAAUAAUACUUUUAUCAAAAUUCUUUAUCUAUAGAACAAAACUGUGUGAAAAUCAAGUAAAUUUUGCAGGGCUGAAAAACUAUCUAAAAGAAAAUCUAAUACUAGAAAAGAAUAUAUUUUUUAAAACAAAGCCUCUUCCAUUAUUAGAAUAAUUUACACUUAAGCAACUUAAUUAGCAUUACCCUAUGUAAUGUUAUUGUGCAUUUUAUUUUAGCCUUUUCACACCAUCAUAUAUGUUUUUAUUUAAUAUACUGUUAUAUGUUGUUUAUUGUUUAUUGUCUUUUGUUCUUGUUUUGUGCCUAAAAUGCAUAUACAUUCUCUAAUAUCUAUUUUGUGUUUGUAUGAAUUAUUUACAAUGGAAAACCAACUUUGCCAAAUCUAUUUAAUGUUGCCAAAAAAAAUACUGCUGCCAAAUUCCAAAUUUCAAGGACUUUCUAUUUUUUAUUUUUAUUUUUUUUUCUCUAGUUUUUAUUUUUUGUUUUUUGUUUUGUAUUUGUGUUUUAAUUAUUUAUUAUUUUCUCUUCUUUUCUCACAUUCUCUCUUAAAUAAAAUUCUCACUUUAUUGAUCAAUAUUGAAAUAAUUGAUACACAAUAAUAUACUGUAUAUAUAUUAUGUAAUUUUGAGUACUAACAAUUACUAACAAUUUUUCUAAAUAUACAAUCUAAUGUUUAACGAGGCCGGGAUAAGGUACCGGUACUUUCUGUAUCAAACUAACAAAUGUGAAAGUUUUCAAUAAAGUAUGUAUAAUUUAAAAAAAAAAAAAAAAAAAAAA